GUGGGGAAUAUUGGGCAAUGGGCGCAAGCCUGACCCAGCAACGCCGCGUGAAGGAAGAAGGCUUUCGGGUUGUAAACUUCUUUUACCAGGGACGAAACAAAUGACGGUACCUGCUGAAUAAGCCACGGCUAACUACGUGCCAGCAGCCGCGGUAAUACGUAGGUGGCGAGCGUUAUCCGGAUUUAUUGGGUGUAAAGGGCGUGUAGGCGGGACAGCAAGUCAGAUGUGAAAACCAGAGGCUCAACCUCUGGCCUGCAUUUGAAACUGUUGUUCUUGAGUGUCGGAGAGGUAAUCGGAAUUCCGUGUGUAGCGGUGAAAUGCGUAGAUAUACGGAGGAACACCAGUGGCGAAGGCGGAUUACUGGCACAAUACUGACGCUCAUGUGCGAAAGCUAGGGCAGCGAACGGGAUUAGAAACCCCAGUAGUCC
rnacentral:rRNA from 1 species